AUACAUACGCACAUAUAGAUACACAUACACACAUAUAUACAUAUACACACACAUAUACACACAUAUAUAGAUAUACAUACACACAUAUAUGGAUACACACACUCUUACAUAUACACACUUAUAUAGAUAUAUAUAUACACAUACGCACACACACACUUAUAUACUGUAUAGAUAAUAUACACACACUCUUAAAGAUACAGGGACCGAAAGCCAUGGCCCAAGGCCUCCCAGGGCUCGUCUGUGGGGGGGGGGAGGAGGGCCCCCACUUUAGGGGAGGCCCAUCAAUUAAUGAACCCGCCGCCCCAGCCCCCCCUCCCCUCUCUAAUUAAGGGCGGGGUCGCCGGGGGGCUUCUCCCUUCCCUUUCCCCCCCUUCCUCCUCCCCCCAUCCCCCUUUUUCCCCUCAGACUCAACUGAGCACGAGGACGGGGCGCUGGCCCAGCAUCUUUCGAGGGCGGCAGGAGAAGCCGGCGCGCACGGAACCUUCUGGAGGCGCCUGAGAGGAAAAGGAGGAGGAGGAGGAGGGGCGGAGAAAGGGAACGCCGCUUCACCGCCGCCUUGGGACAACCGAACCCACUAGGACGGACGGACGGACGGCCUCCCAAUCAGCGACCUGAAUCCUGGAGUCCCCCAGCCAAUGGCAAGGCGAGCCCUGUCAGCUUGACCCCGCCCCCCGCGGCCCUUCGAACCAAGAUGCGUUGACCGGCCAACGGGCCACGCUUUCUCCUCCUCUCGUCUCCGCUUCGCGUUGGAGCAAAAGAGAGAGAGAUGCGCACGCGCGGCACCUCCUGGGACGCGCAUGGGCAAAAGCCAACGCCUUGCGGGGGAGGGAGGGGGAAAGUGUGUGUGUGUGUAGUUCUUGAAAGAGCGCGUGCGCACAAGCGUGCCGAGGGAGCGGUUGGGCGGAGCGGAUGGAGCCCUCCCACCGGCGGUCGCUGCCGCAUUUGCCGCGCUCCGACCACGACCAGGCGCACCCUAGAGGAAUCUGUCCCGGCCCUGUUCAGAUGGAGCCAGAUGUCAAUCCAGAAGAUGAGAAACAGCAUCGGAGAAGUAUGUUGGAUGCCCCAUCUGACAAUUUCCCUCCCACAUACAGUGGGGUCUCGACUUACAAACUUAAUCCGUAUUGGAAGGCAGUUCUCAGGUUGA
rnacentral:lncRNA from 1 species